rnacentral:rRNA from 1 species
GAUGGGGAGCGAAAUUUAGUAGCGAAGUAGCUGAUUUCACACUGUCAAGAAAAGUCUCUAUCGAGGUUAAAGGUACCCGUACCGCAAACCGACACAGGUGGGUGAGGAGAGUAUCCUAAGGCCAGCGAGAGAACUGUUGUUAAGGAACUCGGCAAAAUGACCCCGUAACUUAGGGAUAAGGGGGGCCACCAUCAGGUGGCCGCAGAGAAUAGGCCCAAGCGACUGUUUACCAAAAACAUAGGUUUCUGCUAAGUCG